rnacentral:rRNA from 1 species
AUUGAACGCUGGCGGCAGGCUUAACACAUGCAAGUCGAGCGGGGUGAUGGUGCUCGCACUAUCACUUAGCGGCGGACGGGUGAGUAAUGCUUAGGAAUCUGCCUAUUAGUGGGGGACAACAUCUCGAAAGGGAUGCUAAUACCGCAUACGUCCUACGGGAGAAAGCAGGGGAUCACUUGUGACGUUGCGCUAAUAGAUGAGCCUAAGUCGGAUUAGCUAGUUGGUGGGGUAAAGGCCUACGAAGGCGACGAUCUGUAGCGGGUCUGAGAGGAUGAUCCGCCACACUGGGACUGAGACACGGCCCAGACUCCUACGGGAGGCAGCAGUGGGGAAUAUUGGACAAUGGGGGGAACCCUGAUCCAGCCAUGCCGCGUGUAUGAAGAAGGCCCUAUGGUUGUAAAGCACUUUAAGCGAGGAGGAGGCUCUUUUGGUUAAUACCCAAGAUGAGUGGACGUUACUCGCAGAAUAAGCACCGGCUAACUCUGUGCCAGCCGCCGCCGUAA